rnacentral:rRNA from 1 species
AGAGUUUGAUCAUGGCUCAGGACGAACGCUGGCGGCAUGCCUAAUACAUGCAAGUCGAGCGGACUUGAUGAGAAGCUUGCUUCUCUGAUGGUUAGCGGCGGACGGGUGAGUAACACGUAGGCAACCUGCCCUCAAGCUUGGGACAACUACCGGAAACGGUAGCUAAUACCGAAUACUUGUUUUCUUCGCCUGAAGGAAACUGGAAAGACGGAGCAAUCUGUCACUUGAGGAUGGGCCUGCGGCGCAUUAGCUAGUUGGUGAGGUAACGGCUCACCAAGGCGACGAUGCGUAGCCGACCUGAGAGGGUGAUCGGCCACACUGGGACUGAGACACGGCCCAGACUCCUACGGGAGGCAGCAGUAGGGAAUCUUCCGCAAUGGGCGAAAGCCUGACGGAGCAAUGCCGCGUGAGUGAUGAAGGUUUUCGGAUCGUAAAGCUCUGUUGCCAGGGAAGAACGCUCAGGAGAGUAACUGCUCCUGAGGUGACGGUACCUGAGAAGAAAGCCCCG